rnacentral:rRNA from 1 species
GACGAACGCUGGCGGCGUGCUUAACACAUGCAAGUCGAACGGUAAGGCCCUUCGGGGUACACGAGUGGCGAACGGGUGAGUAACACGUGGGUGAUCUGCCCUGCACUUCGGGAUAAGCCUGGGAAACUGGGUCUAAUACCGGAUAGGACCACUGCCUGCAUGGGUGGUGGUGGAAAGCUUUUGCGGUGUAGGAUGGGCCCGCGGCCUAUCAGCUUGUUGGUGGGGUGAUGGCCUACCAAGGCGACGACGGGUAGCCGGCCUGAGAGGGUGACCGGCCACACUGGGACUGAGAUACGGCCCAGACUCCUACGGGAGGCAGCAGUGGGGAAUAUUGCACAAUGGGCGCAAGCCUGAUGCAGCGACGCCGCGUGAGGGAUGACGGCCUUCGGGUUGUAAACCUCUUUCAGCACCGACGAAGCGCAAGUGACGGUAGGUGCAGAAGAAGGACCGGCCAAAUAAGUGCCAGCCGCCGCCGUAA